rfam:Lactobacillus amylophilus DSM 20533 = JCM 1125 strain DSM 20533 NODE_52, whole genome shotgun sequence.
CUUUUUUACGCAUACUAAAUCACCUCUAUACAUUUUACUGUUCCUAUAUAACUAUAAACAGGUAUAGAAAAACAUGUUAUAUAGUUUAUGAGUUCCUAUAGAACACUGUGGAAUUUAUUAAUGCGAUGAAUCCAAUUUCAAAUAGAAAGGUCGCUGAUUUUAUUUACCUAUACAACUUUAUAAAAUUUAGUCAUACUCCUAGAAAGUAGAUAAAAUUGGCGACUUAAUGGAGGGAAAAGUCGCCAUGAGAAAGAUAAUCUGUC